rnacentral:rRNA from 1 species
GGCCGCGGGAAUUCGAUUCAGGCCUAACACAUGCAAGUCGAGCGAUGAAGCACCUUCGGGUGUGAAUUAGCGGCGAACGGGUGAGGAACACGUGAGAAAUCUGCCUUCAACUCUGGGAUAACUCCGUGAAAGCGGGGCUAAUACCGGAUAUGAAACCUUCAGGCAUGUGAGGGUUUGGAAAGUUUUUCGGUUGAAGAUGAUCUCGCGGCCUAUCAGCUUGUUGGUGAGGUAAUGGCUCACCAAGGCGACGACGGGUAGCCGGCCUGAGUGGGGGACCGGCCACACUGGGACUGAGACACGGCCCAGACUCCUACGGGAGGCAGCAGUGGGGAAUAUUGGGCUUAAGGGAAACUCUGACCCAGCGACGCCGCGUGCG